UACGUAGGGUGCAAGCGUUGUCCGGAAUUAUUGGGCGUAAAGAGCUCGUAGGCGGUUUGUCGCGUCUGCUGUGAAAUCCCGAGGCUCAACCUCGGGCCUGCAGUGGGUACGGGCAGACUAGAGUGCGGUAGGGGAGAUUGGAAUUCCUGGUGUAGCGGUGGAAUGCGUAGAGGAAUCCGGAAGAACACCGGUGGCGAAGGCGGGUGAGCUGGGCAGUUGCUGACACUGAGGCGCGACGAGCGUGGGGAGCAAACAG
rnacentral:rRNA from 1 species